GUUUCAAACUAGAAAAGACAGAGGAACAUUUAUUGGAAAACAGGAGAGCAGAGCAGCACCUCCAGCUCCCAGCUGUGUUUCUAUAAAUAGUGACAAAGACCAAAGAUCAUCUCCAUUCCAUUCUUCAGUGAUGAUCCUGGACAAGCAGAUCUAAGACUGACUGAAGUCCAGAAGAUGGAAGACUGGGAUCUAAAGGACGACAGAGCAGAAACUUCGAGAUCCACGGGUCCGUCUAUGAGGAGCGACAGGUCCAAAGAAAACAUUUUAGACUUCAGUGCAGAAUCUGGACCCUCAGAUCCAAGAGAGAGGAAGAGCACACCCCAGUGUGGAGAGAAAUCCAGAACCGGAGCUGGACCGCUGACAGCCAGUCAGAGCAGUUAUGCAGCAG